CCUACGGGAGGCAGCAGUAGGGAAUCUUCCGCAAUGGACGAAAGUCUGACGGAGCAAUGCCGCGUGAGUGAAGAAGGUUUUCGGAUCGUAAAACUCUGUUGUUAGAGAAGAACAAGGAUGAGAGUAACUGCUCAUCCCCUGACGGUAUCUAACCAGAAAGCCACGGCUAACUACGUGCCAGCAGCCGCGGUAAUACGUAGGUGGCAAGCGUUGUCCGGAUUUAUUGGGCGUAAAGCGAGCGCAGGCGGUUCUUUAAGUCUGAUGUGAAAUCCCCGGGCUCAACCUGGGAACUGCAUUUGUGACUGCAUGGCUAGAGUACGGUAGAGGGGGAUGGAAUUCCGCGUGUAGCAGUGAAAUGCGUAGAUAUGCGGAGGAACACCGAUGGCGAAGGCAAUCCCCUGGACCUGUACUGACGCUCAUGCACGAAAGCGUGGGGAGCAAACAGGAUUAGAUACCCUGGUAGUCCACGCCCUAAACGAUGUCAACUGGUUGUUGGGAAUUAGUUUUCUCAGUAACGAAGCUAACGCGUGAAGUUGACCGCCUGGGGAGUACGGCCGCAAGGUUGAAACUCAAAUGAAUUGACGGGG
rnacentral:rRNA from 1 species